GCCUUCUGGAGCAAUCAACAAAUCUUCCUCUGAUCGUUCGUAAAACGUUGGAUGUUCUUCUAAUUCGUCUAACUUUUUUAACAUUUUCGUGUCGACAUCGUAUACUUCACCAAAUACAUGCUGUUUAUAAGGAAAUAGAAAAAGAUAUUAAAAUUCAAAGCACAGCCUCAAGUUAGUAACAACACUAAUGCUAGGGCAACAAAAUACAAACUCAGUUUAAUGAAUGAAUUUAGUAACUCACAAAUAAGAGAUAUUUCAUUCGAUCUAAUAUAAAUUUGAUAAAUAAUAAUGUUCUUUGAGAAAAAACUGCGCCUAUGACAACGGGCGAUAGACGUUGCCGCUUAUAAACAAUUCGGUGAAACUAGUUGGACAAUAACAUUAUCUAAGUUGAUAAUAUCGAACUCAUGCAAUACUCACGUGACCAAAGCCAGGUUU